CUUCAGUUGCUGAUAGAAAAAAGGAAAGAGCUCUCACCUAACCUCUUCACUGUACGUGCGUUUUCAUCGUGGAUGUAUACGAAGCUUAUAUGCAAUGGUCUUAUUGGAUCCGAUCUUUCAUUAUAGUGGUGAUUGGAUAUAUAAUCCACAAGUGUUAUACUCAAGGAAGCUUGUGCACACUGUUAAAGGUUAUAACUCUGACCUAUUGUCUUACAACUAUUUAGUAAAUGAAUUUACUUCUAAGUUGGGGUUUAUUGGAGUUCAACAAGUAAUUGUGAAUGGGCCUUCUGGUAGAUAUUAUGAAAUAGAGAGUGAUCAAGGUGUUAGGAGUCUACUGUCUUUGGCUAGUGAUCAGUUUAAUGUUAUUGAUUUCUUUGAUGUAGAUGAGUGUGAGUUAAGUAUUAAUGUUUAUAAUAUAGUCCAGCACAUUGAGUCAUACACAUCAGAACUUGAGGCUGCUACUGACUGUAGUUCAGAUGACAAUGAAGAAUAUGUCUGUCAUUCUUCUGAUUGUUCAGAUAGUGAUUUUAAUUCAUUAGAAAGACUUCAUACACAAAAAGAGAGGAAGAUAUCUGAUAAGUUGACUGAUUAUAAUGAGUUACACAAGUCCAUGACAUUUAAAGACCAAUUAAAGAAUAUGGGACAAGUGGAUGAAGAUGGUAAGGAUGUUGUUGAAGAUUUGAUGAAGUACCCACCCCAAAGUUGGAGUAAAGCAUACUUUGACACUGUUUGCAAGAACUACUCAGUGGACAACAACCUAACUGAGUCCUUCAAUUCAUGAAUCAAGGAAGCAAGAUUCAAGCCAAUUGUCAAGAUACUUGAGGAUAUUAGAGUAAAGGUUAUGAAUAUGCUAAGGGAACGUGAAUCUGUUGUAAUGACAUGGAGUAAUAACUUCAGCCCCCAAACCAUGCAACUGUAUAGCCAAUACUUGAAGAUUGCAAAUAAGUGUCAUGUUCAUUCCAAUGGUCAAGAAAGGUAUGAAGUAAGUGAAGAUGGUGACAGACACACAGUGAAUAUGGUGGUGAAGAGAUGCACAUGUAGGACAAGGGACCUUAAUGGAAUCCCAUGUCCUCAUGCAAUCAAAGCAAUACAACACAACAAGAUGAAUCCCCUGACUGAAAUACACUGGUGGUACACCAAAGAGGCCUAUCUCCUAGCCUAUUCACAUAAGCUUCAACCAGUAAGGGGAGAAAAAUUUUGGAAGGUAGAAGCAUCUCAUGCAAUGGAACCACCAAAAUUUGUGAAGAUGGCUGGCAGGCCUAAAGUCAAAAGAACAAGAGAAAAAAAUGAAACAGUCAACAGACAAGGUGAAUAGAUGCAGUCCAGGAAGGGGAGAAUAAUGAAGUGUUCCACAUGUGGUCAGCCUGGACACAAUGCUAGGGGUUGUGCAAGGGGAAAACAACCAAUGUCAAGUAAGAAAAAGGGCAAGCAGACAAAGAGACAAAGAUGUUUAAGAGAUGAAGACAAUAAUGAUUAACAGCCCAUUCACCACUUGCUGCAAAUAUACCAGUUGAGGAGGAAAUACAACUUUCAGCACCACAGUUCAGUCAAGGAAGUCAGUCAAGUCAUCCAGUUCAAGACACAAACUUUCAGUUUAUGCCAACUUCUUCAGUGCAAAGGAAACUUCCCACCAAUAGUGUCAUUCCAGAUUUUGAAUUUCCUGAUUUUGAAUCAGAUUCUGCCUAGAUAUUAGGCCAAGGAGUUUCUCUGAAGAAAGGACAAGACUGCUUAUGAGACAGCAAGGAACAAUACCAGCUAUUACAAGGACCAUCAAUUUUGUUGGUGACUCAUCUGGUGUGAGUGUGCCCUCAAACCUACCAUACUCAGUUAAGAAUCUCACCUGGAAUGAUUCAGAGCAUUUGGAGGCCGAUUCAAGAAGAAAGGGCAUUCCAGAGUAGAAUUCUACGCCGUUGAGAUCCAGGUGUGACCAGAUGUGGAGUUCAUUGAGUUCGUGCGCAGUUGAUCUUCCGGAUAUUUACAAGUGAUUUGGAAAGGUCGACUUGCCUAGUACCACGAUAGGCGCCAUCAUGACGGGUUAGGUUUUGGGUCGUGACGGAAAUCAACUUGAAAAGAUGGCCAAGAUGAAGAUAAGAAAUGGUAAUGGCAAGUCACAAAACUAACGUGACUUGAACUAAAUGUGGAAAGUCAUUUAAGUGGUGAAAGUUUUUGUGAAUUUUAAGUUUAAAAGGCUUGUAAUUACUGCUAUGACAGUACAAUUGUUAUUUUGGUGGUUGAUGUAAUUACUACUAUGAUAGUACAUUUAUUUUUGUGGUUGGUGGUAUGGACUUCUAUGAAGUCCAUUAUGUGAAUGUUAUGACA